CUGAAGGCCGUUGGAGCCAAGCCAUCAAAGAUCUCUAUCAAGUCAAUCUCUUCUGUUGUCUAGAUCUAUCUUGUCUUCUUCCUAGAUCUGGUCACUGGUGAUGCACCAAUCCUUUAUCUUGUAGAUCUGGAUCGAUGAAACCCUUCUGUUGCAGAUCUACUUCUUCUCUCUUUUCCAUUCGCAGAUCUAAGGCUAAGUUUUAGGUUCGGUUCAUGUUGGUGGGUUCUUGUCAAAGACGUCAUGGGAUCAUAAAGACAUGCACAUUGUUUCAGUUUUGUGGCUGGAGACAAGUGUCAUGAUAUCACCGAUAAUUUCAGCUAUGCUGGGUCGAGGUAUCACAUAAUCGAUCUGAGUAACCUCAAGGUUAUAAUCCGGAGAUGCAAGAUGAUCCAACAAUGGCGUCGGUGGAAGCAAAAGGGGAUUCCGGUGAAGCAGGAAAAAUUCUGACGGCGACGGCGUUUCAACCAAAGCAGAACUGGUGUUUCGUGUCUUUACUUCCAAACUCGUGUGCAAUAAAGUGGAUGCGUGUCAUCAUGUCUGAUAGCGGUGGGGAUACGUGGAUUAGCUAAUCAAUCAGUAUAAUCCGGUCGGUUAUUGGCCUAAAUUUUAAAUUGUAUUCGGGUUGGAUAGACUUUAAUAUUAUUUCACCAUG